CACCAGGAUGCGGCAGAAAAAGCUAUUUGUCUAUCAAUCUAUCUAUCAUCCAUCUCUAAAUGCAUUCUCUCUUUUAUUUUCCAUCCGUGAAUAGUUUUAUGUUCAAUUACUAAAACUAGAAUGUAGAGUUGGCGAAGUUGGAUUAUAUCCCAACGCCCCAGAAAAAAAACCUUUAUACGACUAAAGAAGAGUAAACAGGCAGAAAUACGUCAGUAAUUUUAAUAUGCAUGCUUUUUUGCAUUUCUAUAUAUUCUUCUUUUUUUUUGCUCAACCCAAAAGAACCGUGCCAUUGAGCGGGUUGCAGGGUUGCCGCUGACUCGCUGCAGGACGCACAGAAUCUGAUCAAAUACAGAGACGCGUUGAGUGCCUCAAGCAGCGCUUUAUAACUUCAAGCCUUUCACAUCCCUUUCCCCUCAAUCUGUCCCAGGAAGGAGCUCACCGGCUUUAUUUUAACGUCUCGAAAAAAAGAAAAAGGAAAGUUUUCAAAUCAGUCCUCAUUCUGCUCUCGCCCCCUGUCCAACCCGCAGUCAUUCCCUAAACAUUACCUCGGGAGAAGUAUAAAACUAAUGGUUGCGUCGGCUGUUCACUUUACCACCAAGUUUUUCUUUCCUAAACAAUCAACGAGUAUUUUUUCCUAUACCGCAUUUUCCCCAUGAACACUCGCGUUCCUCCUCCGAUGCGCUCACACGCCCGCGCACGUACGUAUAUGCACGUACACAUGUACACAUUUCCUUUCUUUCUUUUUUUCCCCCCACACCCACCAAUAUACAUAGUCCUGCACUGAGAGCUAGAGGGAGGGUAGAAGAGAGAGGGAUGGGGGGAGGAGGAGGGGGGCCGGUGGGGAGGGGUGUUUGGGUGGAGGGGGGGGGGGGGGGGGGGGGGGGGGGGGGGGGGGUAUGGGAGAAAGUUAGCUACGCUAAGUUUGCUUCGCAGUGUUGGAGAUUAGGUUUAUUGCGACCUUUGGUGAACCGUCUGCAAGUGACAGACAGUUAAGUUUCCUUAACGUCCCCUGCUCUAUGCUUUAUGGGCCCAAUGACACAUGAGGACUUCACACUAUUGACUGGUAUAGGCAAAUGUUCCAUCUGCCCUACACCAAUAAAUACUGCAGAAUGUAGAUAAUAGUGUUUAAUGGAACAUUUUAUGAGCCAAAGCUGAAGAGUAACAUAUUCACUGCCCUCCAGAAAGGUGGAUUUAAUUAUUGAAUCCGGAACAGCUCUUGCUCGACGAGUAAAGACAAAUAAAGUUUGACUGUUAAAUAGCAUGCAGAAAGAAAAAUUUCCAACAAUUCUGUAUUUUCCACUGGUGGUGCCAUUUUCGACAGAAUGACAGAAUUACGUAAUUCAUAGUUAAAAUCAUAAGAUUACUUCUAUUUUUUUGUUAUAAUUUGUGGUUUUCUGUUAAAGGCCCACUAGGCAUGUAUUGUUUUUAUAUUAGCCAAUUACUUUACUUUUUAUACACACAUAACCUUGUAGGUCUAUAUCAAUAAUUUAUUUUUUAUAUUUCCUGGACUAAACUUACAUCAAGGAUUACCUUGAUGAAAGUAUGGCCCACCUAAAUAAGGAGCUGUGAAAACAAACUGUGCAGCCUUUUGGUAAAUACUGCUCGGGCUGACUCAUUGGGUGGUGGAAAAGGAAAAUAUUCAGUGUAGUCAUUGGUUACACCAUAAGCUUUUCUGACUGAGCAUGCGCAUUUACUUAAAAAAAUAAUGCUUGUCGAAACACCUCGCAGAUGUAGGCCUAUGCGCUCAUUUUGGAAAAGAGUGGAGCAUUAACGGCAACCCUAAUGGUAAACACUUGACCUUUAUUUGGUAUUGUCCUAAUUGUUAUCGUGUCUGUUGCUUCCACAGACAUAAUUUCCCUAAAUAUUAUAUGCAAGCAUUUAUGCAUGCUAUAGAGCGUUAUCAGAUCAUCGUCUUGGUUAACAUAUAGCCAGCUUAGUUGUGUGUGACCUGAUAUAUCCUGCUCAACCGUCCGUUAGGCUGCCCUGACACUAAUGUGUGGUUUUGUGAACGAUUUAGACAAGGCCAAAAGCUAACCCUGUAGGCCAAAGAAAAAGUGAAUUCAAUAUUUUUAAACAUUUCGUUCUCUUUCCAUUGCUGUAUGUGUUGAUUUGGUUCUCUUUGUAGCCAUUUCUUCUGCCUCACAUUUUUAGUUUGUUUAUUUUAGCAACCCUAAUAAAAUAAACAUAACAAUAAGUUGCAUGCCCCUUAAUUUGACAACAACACAUUUACAUAUUGUGUGUUG
rnacentral:lncRNA from 1 species